rnacentral:rRNA from 1 species
UCGAGCGAGCUGCCUUGAAGAUCGGAGUGCUUGCACUCUGUGAAACAAGAUACAGGCUAGCGGCGGACGGGUGAGUAACACGUGGGUAACCUGCCCAAGAGAUUGGGAUAACACCUGGAAACAGAUGCUAAUACCGGAUAACAACAGAUGAUGCCUAUCAACUGUUUAAAAGAUGGUUCUGCUAUCACUCUUGGAUGGACCUGCGGUGCAUUAGCUAGUUGGUAGGGUAACGGCCUACCAAGGCGAUGAUGCAUAGCCGAGUUGAGAGACUGAUCGGCCACAUUGGGACUGAGACACGGCCCAAACUCCUACGGGAGGCAGCAGUAGGGAAUCUUCCACAAUGGACGCAAGUCUGAUGGAGCAACGCCGCGUGAGUGAAGAAGGGUUUCGGCUCGUAAAGCUCUGUUGUUGGUGAAGAAGGACAGGGGUAGUAACUGACCUUUGUUUGACGGUAAUCAAUUAGAAAGUCACGGCUAACUACGUGCCAGCAGCCGCGGUAAUACGUAGGUGGCAAGCGUUGUCCGGAUUUAUUGGGCGUAAAGCGAGUGCAGGCGGCUCGAUAAGUCUGAUGUGAAAGCCUUCGGCUCAACCGGAGAAUUGCAUCAGAAACUGUCGAGCUUGAGUACAGAAGAGGAGAGUGGAACUCCAUGUGUAGCGGUGAAAUGCGUAGAUAUAUGGAAGAACACCGGUGGCGAAGGCGGCUCUCUGGUCUGUUACUGACGCUGAGGCUCGAAAGCAUGGGUAGCGAACAGGAUUAGAUACCCUGGUAGUCCAUGCCGUAAACGAUGAGUGCUAAGUGUUGGGAGGUUUCCGCCUCUCAGUGCUGCAGCUAACGCAUUAAGCACUCCGCCUGGGGAGUACGACCGCAAGGUUGAAACUCAAAGGAAUUGACGGGGGCC